GAGGGAGUGGACACACUGCGAAAUAAACGCCCGAUACGCCUCGGAUAGCAACCACCCAGCUGAAUUAUUCGCCGUAGAUAUGAAUUCUGUCAAAAUGACAUGCUUUGUUUGUUUGGAAAAUUUAUUGUGCCUGUAUCAUUGCUAAACCGUGGUGAAUAAUACAAAGCACUGGUUCGACUCGCUGCUUAUCGAAAAGACGUACAAAGGUCCACAAGAAUUGGUAAUAAUUUUAUCUGGUUGUGGUUUAUAUACUGCUGCAUUGAAGCUGCUUACUGGCUUCGGAUUAUCACCUCUUUCCAUAUGGGUACGCCGCAUUACCAAGGAAAGCGCUAAUAAAGCAUGAGCAUGGUCACAAGAAAAUGAAAUCGCUGAUUUACCUCAUCGCAAUAAAGCAACCAAUAUGGCCCGGUCACUGUUACAAAAACUCAUUUAUGAUUAUGAGUUAGAAAAUUCUACUAGCGUACGUAAAUAUAUAGCAAACAAGCUGCUAGGUCUCAACGCUUUUAUACUGCAAUGGCUAUAUAAUGACUACAAGGUAUGAAAUUUGCUAUAAAAACAUGCAUACCAAAGAUGGAGAAUUGUCCAGAGCUAUUGUAUUUGUUCGUCAAAGAUAAUCCCUUAUUUGAAGCUGCCGAAUUACCACAUGCACUGUUGGGCUACAGCGCACUACAAGCGAAUAUUUCAGUUUUAAACAUACAAUUGCGAUUAUAAACAAAGAAAUUUUGUCUGCGAAGAAAUACAUUAGAUCUUUUGUUGCAUGGAUUGAACUUGAAUGCAAAUUCAGAUAUCGAGUAUAAGCAGCAGCUCACAGAUUUAGAGGACGUCAUACAGACCUGUAUCGAUAUCACGCAGCGCACUGCAAAGGAUAAAAUCCAAAUGGAUUAAAUAAAAUUAAUAUAAAUUUAAAUUAAAUUAAAUAAUUUAUUUUUCAAUCGAUUUUUCAAUGUUCAAGAACUUAUGUUCUAAAUACAGGUUAUAAACAUCAAUAAAUUUAUAUAAAAUAAAUUCACAAGCAUGCUACAAAUUUGUUGUCCAGAAUUUUCAAGUGUUCAGUUUUAGAUGUAAAUCAUAGCGAUCGAUUUUCCACAAAAAACAUGACGCAAACAUUUUUACGCAAUACAGGUAUGGUAUGCGCAUCUCAACAGUAUUUAGUAUGAAGUCGUCAUAGUCAUUAUGAGGAUAUAGAAUUACACAUGUAAAAAUUGCAAAUUAAAAAUGUGAUACAAAUACAAUUGAGCUCAAUAUUACAUACAUUACCUUCUGUACGUAGUGAGUAUUUAAUUUUGCCCUUGUGUCGAAGUUUUUUUGCGUUAUGUGUCUCUAUUUUAAACCUUUCAGUGUCCAAACUUCACUCUCCACUUUCAAUUUCACCUUAUGCAUGCCCGUGGCAAAUUCUGAAAUAUGUAUUAAUAAUUAAAACACCGUAAACGUAGAUGAUUUUUUUCAUAUCCAUAAGAGCUUACAAUUCACACAUAAGCUACAUACUAAAUCUUCAAUGAACUGUGGGAAUUGUGGCGACUAUUUAUUUUUUGACUAUUUCCAGCGAACGUUUCACAAGCAAAUCAUCCUGAAAACAAACAGCUGAUUUUGAGGUGAUGCUUGGACCAAAGGCAACAACAAAUACUUGUAGAGUUUUAUUUAUAUGUGGUUGAUGUCACCUGUAAUAAAUUCGCCUUGCUGUGAGCUCAGAAUAAAACAAGGCGAAUUCACUUUCUGUUUUCUACUUUGCCAAUACAUUGUUUUGACAAUCAAACGUACAAAACAUUGUUGUUGGUCUAGUGCCACCACCUUUAAUGGAUGCGCCUUUGAAAUGGGAAAACCAAAACAUGAAUUAUGGUUCUCAUGCUGCAAACAGGUACCGACGUAUCGUAGUCCCUUACCGCAGCCCCUAGAGUGCACAAAAUUGAGCAAAACUUAUCCCGUAGGGAACAACUGCGUUCUUUUAGUUACAUAUUUAAACAGUACAUCGGUUUGUGGGUGUAUGUGUUUGGUUGUAUCUACACAAUGUUGCCAUUGAUAUUUUUGCUUACACACUUUUUCACACUUCCGCGUUAUCAAUUACAAUUUUUCAUUGUUUAAUGAACCAAAGCCAAGAACCAACAAAUGCAAAUAGUUCAUUUAUCUAUAAUUAGCAUUAUUCAACAUUGUUUUUAAGUUAUUUUAACCAAAAUUAAAAUUUUUCCAAGUUUA